rnacentral:lncRNA from 10 species
GGGAGGGAAAGGUAUAGGAGGUGGGGGUGGGGGUUUCAGCCAGUCUCUUUCCCAGCAGUGAUGCCGUCUCAGCCACCAGUUCUCUGCCAGCGGGGUCAGCACAGGCAUGGUGAGGGGGAGAGGAAGGAGCUGUCUGUAACACUGCUUAACCUCUGGCACGUGGAGUCUGAUUGCCUGGGUCAGCUGCUAUCUGUGUCUUGUUUAGCAUCCUUUCUCCUGUGUGUCCUGCCCUCUGGCCCAUCUGUCCAGCUGAUGGUGGGGUUUGCAAGCAGAGGGAUGCCUGUCUCCCAGCUCUGGCUGUGUUGCUCUAGCCCAACAGAUGCUUGGAACAAAUAAACAGGCCAGCAAGUCUUGGAGAGGUUGUCAGGCUGAGUUGAGACAUGCUGUCCCUUUUGAAAGCUGUUGAUGUACUUAGAAGGAUCAGCAUCUGGGGCCAGAUCAUCUCUGACUCUACAUUAAAGCCAGAGUUCUCAUCUUCUUCAUAAUGAUGAUGUGGUCUCAGAGGCAGAGUCACUUCACAUCUGGGAAUAAAUCCCAGUCCUACCUGAUUCAUUCAUUUAUUUCACCCACACUUAUUGAACACUUGCUGUGUGCACUUGCUGCUCCGAGUGUUGGUAUAUGACACAGUGCCGGCUGCUAAGGAGCCCAUGGUCUACUUAAGGGGACAGACACGUAUGGGAUGCAGUGCCCCGGGGUAAGUGCAACAAUGCUAGUAUGGGGGGCAUUUGGAGAGCGUAGAGAAAGAGCCUCCCAUACACCCUUGAAAGGCCAGCAAGUGCUUCCUGGAGUUGAUGGUACCUGAGCUAAAUAUUAAAGAAGUAGAAGCUGGUCAGAUUAUGUGGAGGUUGCUGGGUGUGAGCCCACAGUGGGUAGGUUUGCUAUUUCUGGUGAGAGAGACAAACACAAGUAUAUUCAGAGAACUAAAUGGUUUCCUGGCUGCUGCACCUGGAUUCUGGAGAAGUAGAUCUUGAGUGUGAGUUUCUAAAAAAUGAGAUAAGUUAAUGAUCUGUAAUCUCAGCUACUCAGGAGGCUGAGGCAGGAGAAUCGCUUGAACCCGGGAGGCGGAGGUUGCAGGGAGCCAAGACCGCACCACUGCACUCCAGCCUGGGCAACACAGUGAGUGAGACUCAGUCUCAAAAAAAAAGUUAAUUGGUAGAGUGAACUUUUCCUCCUGAAUGGGGCCUUGAAGGCAUCAUAGGGCAUGGCAAAUGGGUUGGGGUUGCCAGGCCUUGAUCAGAUGACUGGUGGAAACUGGCCGUGGGCUUUGAGCUGUACUUCUUGUCAGACUCUUCCCUGUGGAUUACAGAAGAGCGCUUAUAUCUCCCAAUUCACAUUUGCUAAAAACGACAACAACAACAAACCAAAAAACAAAACAAAACAAAACAAAAAAACGAAGAAUCAAACAAACAAAACACUGGAAGAAAAGGGUAAGGAACAGGGCACCAGAUAACCAGGUUGUCUUUGAGUGUGCAGAGUGUGUGGCUGAGUGUGAGCAUGUCAUCUCCCAGAGGGCAGAAUGCCUGAGGACAGUCCUACGUGGCCUGUGCAGUUAAUACAACCGUCACAAUUUUCUCAGUUACCUGCUCACUGCCCAGAGAGGACACGGUAAGUGUCACCUGGACUUCUUGGCACUUUAGGGGUUAGACGGUCACCUCGCAACAAGCCGAGGGUUCUUUUCUGAAUCAUUCCCUGUUAUAAUUCAGCAUUAAGGUUCUUGGUUGUGAAUUAAAAAAAAACAAGCAGAAGGCAAAUUGAUUGGAAGGGUAUUUGGUAGCUCUUUGCUAUCUGUGGGUAGUUGAGCACACCAGUCUGAGCACAAACAAAGGUCAGCAAGGCCCAGGGACAUCCUACCCUGGGUGCUCUGGGCUUAGGGUGUUGCUUCUGGGUUCUCACUGUUGGAUGCAACUGUCCCUGGAAACUUUUAUCACAUGAAUGGCCUCCUGAUAACCUCUAACUGAUCCUGGACUUUGCUGCAUGGACACGGAAUUAAAACCUGAGUGGAAGCCUCUGACUGGCUGUGCCCAGGUCACAUGGCCUUGCUGAGGAAGGAGAGAAGGGAACCACGUGCCCUCUUUGGCUCCCUUAAUAAAGGAACCUGUCUCCCGCCUAAUUUGAAAUGUCCCCCCCGGAAUAGGAGAGUGUUUGAAUGCUGAAUGGCCCCAAAUGCCAAGUAACUACCAUGUUUUUUGACCUUCCAGACCCGACUUUCAGACACAUUUUGCUCCCCAGCGCUGCCCACCUUUGGUUUCACAGCAGUUCUGAGGCCUGAGAAACUGAGGAGUUUUUCUGGCCACUUUUGGGAGAAGCCAUCUUUUAAAUUCUUGAUCAGUUUCUUCAGCCCCUUCCCUGGAAACAGACACCAUUUCUCUUUGAGGGAAAAGAGAAGUCAUUGCCUAUCUGUGAAGGGGAUUCCACUUCCUCUGAGAGAGCUUCCUGUCAAUAGCCUCUUCUUGUCUCAUAUUGUGUACAUCAGAGGCAAUGAAUUGAGCAGGAGGAAAGGGGCCACUUAGUCUCUGACUGUUUCAGUUUUUUCCUGCCUUGACAAAUGGCAGAAAUCAUACUGUCUCAUUGAGUAGGCCUCAAGUUAAAACACUCAGGGCCACUUAGACUAUUCUUUUCUUUUUCUUUUUAAACAGGUUUAUAAUUGACAUACAAAAACUG